ensembl:miRNA
GGUGUGGCCUUGUUUGAGGAAAUGUGUCACUGGGGGUAGGCUUUGAGGUUUCAGAAGCUCAAUCCAGGCCUAGUGGCUCACUGUCUCUUCCUGCUGCCUGUGGAUCC